rnacentral:rRNA from 1 species
AUUGAACGCUGGCGGCAUGCUUUACACAUGCAAGUCGAGCGGCAGCGCGGGGGCAACCCUGGCGGCGAGCGGCGAACGGGUGAGUAAGGCAUCGGAACGUGUCCCGGAGUGGGGGAUAACCCGGCGAAAGCCGGACUAAUACCGCAUAUGCUCUGAGGAGGAAAGUGGGGGACCUGUGAGGGCCUCAUGCUUUGGGAGCGGCCGAUGUCCGAUUAGCUAGUUGGUGGGGUAAUGGCUUACCAAGGCGACGAUCGGUAGCUGGUCUGGGAGGAUGAUCAGCCACACUGGGACUAGGACACGGCCCAGACUCCUACGGGAGGCAGCAGUGGGGAAUUUUGGACAAUGGGGGCAACCCUGAUCCAGCCAUGCCGCGUGCGGGAAGAAGGCCUUCGGGUUGUAAACCGCUUUUAGCUGGGAAGAAAAGGCCUGUCCUAAUACGGCAGGUUCUUGACGGUACCGGCGGAAUAAGCACCGGCUAACUACGUGCCAGCCGCCGCUGUAAAAC